rnacentral:rRNA from 1 species
GACGAACGCUGGCGGCGUGCUUAACACAUGCAAGUCGAACGGUAAGGCUCCAGCUUGCUGGGGUACACGAGUGGCGAACGGGUGAGUAACACGUGGGUGACCUGCCCUGCACUUCGGGAUAAGCCUGGGAAACUGGGUCUAAUACCGGAUAGGACCGCACCGUGAGGGUGUGGUGGAAAGUUUUUUCGGUGUGGGAUGGGCCCGCGGCCUAUCAGCUUGUUGGUGGGGUAAUGGCCUACCAAGGCGGCGACGGGUAGCCGGCCUGAGAGGGUGGACGGCCACAUUGGGACUGAGACACGGCCCAGACUCCUACGGGAGGCAGCAGUGGGGAAUAUUGCACAAUGGGCGGAAGCCUGAUGCAGCGACGCCGCGUGGGGGAUGACGGCCUUCGGGUUGUAAACUCCUUUCACCAUCGACGAAGGGUUUCUGACGGUAGACGGAGAAGAAGCACCGGCUAACUACGUGCCAGCAGCCGCGGUAAUACGUAGGGUGCGAGCGUUGUCCGGAAUUACUGGGCGUAAAGAGCUCGUAGGUGGUUUGUCGCGUCGUCUGUGAAAUUCCGGGGCUUAACUCCGGGCGUGCAGGCGAUACGGGCAUAACUUGAGUACUGUAGGGGAGACUGGAAUUCCUGGUGUAGCGGUGAAAUGCGCAGAUAUCAGGAGGAACACCGGUGGCGAAGGCGGGUCUCUGGGCAGUAACUGACGCUGAGGAGCGAAAGCAUGGGGAGCGAACAGGAUUAGAUACCCUGGUAGUCCAUGCCGUAAACGGUGGGCGCUAGGUGUGGGUUUCCUUCCACGGGAUCCGUGCCGUAGCUAACGCAUUAAGCGCCCCGCCUGGGGAGUACGGCCGCAAGGCUAAAACUCAAAGGAAUUGACGGGGGCCCGCACAAGCGGCGGAGCAUGUGGAUUAAUUCGAUGCAACGCGAAGAACCUUACCUGGGCUUGACAUAUACAGGAUCGCGCCAGAGAUGGUGUUUCCCUUGUGGCUUGUAUACAGGUGGUGCAUGGUUGUCGUCAGCUCGUGUCGUGAGAUGUUGGGUUAAGUCCCGCAACGAGCGCAACCCUUGUCUUAUGUUGCCAGCACGUUGUGGUGGGGACUCGUAAGAAACUGCCGGGGUUAACUCGGAGGAAGGUGGGGAUGACGUCAAAUCAUCAUGCCCCUUAUGUCCAGGGCUUCACACAUGCUACAAUGGUCGGUACAGUGGGUUGCCAGUCCGUGAGGGCGAGCUAAUCCCGCAAAGCCGGUCUCAGUUCGGAUCGGGGUCUGCAACUCGACCCCGUGAAGUCGGAGUCGCUAGUAAUCGCGGAUCAGCAACGCUGCGGUGAAUACGUUCCCGGGCCU